CCUACGGGAGGCAGCAGUAGGGAAUCUUCCGCAAUGGACGAAAGUCUGACGGAGCAACGCCGCGUGAGUGAUGAAGGUUUUCGGAUUGUAAAACUCUGUUGUUAGGGAAGAACAAGUACAAGAGUAACUGCUUGUACCUUGACGGUACCUAACCAGAAAGCCCCGGCUAACUACGUGCCAGCAGCCGCGGUAAU
rnacentral:rRNA from 1 species